rnacentral:rRNA from 1 species
CGCAUCUGUGCAUGCAGCAUAUCAAUAAGCGGAGGAAAAGGAACUAACAAGGAUUCCCUUAGUAACGGCGAGUGAAGCGGGAAGAGCUCAAAUUUGAAAUCUUCAAGGUUUUACCUUGACGAAUUGUAGUUUAAAGAAGUGUUUUCUGUUGAAGUUUUGGUAAAAGUUCUUUGGAAUAGGACAUCAUAGAGGGUGAGAAUCCCGUAUUUGACCAUUAUUUUCAGCUGUGUGAUACACUUUCAAAGAGUCGGAUUGUUUGGGAAUGCAGUCCAAAAUGGGUGGUAAAUUUCAUCUAAAGCUAAAUAUUGGCGAGAGACCGAUAGCGAACAAGUACCGUGAGGGAAAGAUGAAAAGAACUUUGAAAAGAGAGUUAAACAGUACGUGAAAUUGUCAAAAGGGAAGCGUUUGACACCAGUGUUGUUUUCUCGAAAAUCAAUUAAAAAGAGUUAGAUUUUGUUGUGUAUUGACCUUAACAGCUUGCAUUUCAAUUUUCUUGCUUUUUUUAAUGCACUUUUCGUUUAACAAGUCAACAUCAGUUUCUUUUGUUGUAAAAAGGUCAUUGGAAGGUGGCUUUCUUUUCGGAGAAAGUGUUUAUAGCCUUUGACUCCUGCAAUCGGAGAGACUGAGGUCUGCAGCGUAGAUCCUUCGGGGUUAGAUACAUUUGUGCUAAGUUAUAGCUUUUUAUAGACAACUUGUUGACUAUGAUUAGUCUUGUAGCUUACUCGCUUAUGCUAUUUUACCUACGCUUAGGAUGUUGAUGUGAUACUGCGAGCA